ensembl:lincRNA
UUUCCCUGUAGAGCCAAAAGCCAGAACAAGUCGAGGCCACUGCUAUUGCCCAACACACACCGUUGUCCCCAGCUCCACCCCAGAACAGCCCAAAUUCCCCAGAUUGCUGUGAAGAGAGUCAGCCUGUGCUCAGAGGCAUUGAGCAAUGUGGAGCCUCCCAGGGUCCCUGCCCCUGCACCCGAAAACAGCCAAGAGGCCUGAGCAUCCGGGCUCAGAUCGGAAGGCGUUUCAGGGAGGACGGCUCUUUCCUUUUGGUCAGGUGCCUCAGCGUGGAUUCCCAGGACUUUAUAAGAUGAUGCACUGAAGGAUUUCAGCAAGAAAAUUCUGGAGUGUCAACUGAUACGUUUUUCAGUCUCACCUUGCUCACUGUUUGAGUAUUGUCACAUACACAUGCGUAUUAUUAGAGGUGAAUGCAUGAAGUUUUUGUUACUGAGAGAGUGGCCCUAGACCAGAUGCCAGUGAACUGCAGCCCACGGCCCGAAUCUAGCCUGCUGCCUCUUUUCAUAUGGCUCACAAGCUAGUCCUAGUAUUAUAUUUUAAUAGUGUGGGAAAACAUCAAAAGAAGAACAAAUUUUGUGGAACAUGAAAAUGAUGUGUUUAAAUUUUAGUAUCCAUAAACGUGGUUUCAUUAGAACACACUUCUGUGGUUUGAAUGUCCCCUCCAAAACUCAUGUUGAAACUUAGUUCCCAGCGUCACUAUAUUGAGAGAUAGGGCCUUUAACAGGUGAUUGGGGUAUGGGAAAUCUGCCCUCAUGAAUGGAUUAAUCUAUUCAUGGGUUAAUGGAUUAAUGCAUUAAGGGAUUGGUGGGUUAUCAUGGCAGGGAAACUAGCAGCUUUGUAAGAAGAGGAAGGGAGACCUGAGCCCUCUCACCACGGGUUGCCCUGCACCACCACAGGACUCUGCAGAGAGUCCCCGCCAGCAAGAGGAUCUUCACCAGAUGUGGCCUCUUGACCUGAGACUUCUCAGCCUCCAUAACUGUAAGAAAUAAAUUCCUUUUCCUUAUAAAUGACCCAGUUUUAGGCAUUCUGUUUUAAGCAACAGAAAAUGAACUAAGACAAUGCUCAUGCCCAUUCACUACAUAUUAUCCAUGGCUGUUGCCUGCAUUUUGAUGGCAGAGUUGAGCAGUUGCAACAAAGACCAAAUGGGCCAGUAAAAGCUGAAAAUAUUUACUAUCUGGCUCUUACGGAAAACACUCGCCAACCCCUGCCCUAGUCAUUGGCUUCAUUUCCUGGGAUGAUAGUUUUGUACUUAUCCAACUUUGUGGAUAGCAUUUCUUUUUUUUUUUUUUUUUUUUGAG